rnacentral:rRNA from 1 species
AUGGGCGCAAGCCUGAUCCAGCAAUGCCGCGUGGGUGAAGAAGGCCUGCGGGUUGUAAAGCCCUUUAAGCGGGGAGGAAAGCCGGGGUGUGAAUAGCGCCUCGGGGUGACGUUACCCGCAGAAUAAGCACCGGCUAACUCCGUGCCAGCAGCCGCGGUAAU